rnacentral:rRNA from 1 species
GAUGAACGCUAGCUACAGGCUUAACACAUGCAAGUCGAGGGGAAACGAUAUUGGAAGCUUGCUUCUGAUAGGCGUCGACCGGCGCACGGGUGAGUAACGCGUAUCCAACCUGCCCAUCACUUGGGGAUAACCUUGCGAAAGUAAGACUAAUACCCAAUGACGUCUCUAGAAGACAUCUGAAAGAGAUUAAAGAUUUAUCGGUGAUGGAUGGGGAUGCGUCUGAUUAGCUUGUUGGCGGGGUAACGGCCCACCAAGGCGACGAUCAGUAGGGGUUCUGAGAGGAAGGUCCCCCACAUUGGAACUGAGACACGGUCCAAACUCCUACGGGAGGCAGCAGUGAGGAAUAUUGGUCAAUGGACGAGAGUCUGAACCAGCCAAGUAGCGUGCAGGAUGACGGCCCUAUGGGUUGUAAACUGCUUUUAUAAGGGAAUAAAGUGGGAGUCGUGACUCUUUUUGCAUGUACCUUAUGAAUAAGGACCGGCUAAUUCCGUGCCAGCAG